rnacentral:rRNA from 1 species
GAGAGUUAAAUAGCACGUGAAAUUGUUGAAAGGGAAACGAUUGAAGCCAGUCGUACCGGCGGAUAAUCAGCCUUUCAGGUGCGAUUCUGUGGGGCGUGAGGAGCUUAACCGCCUUCAUGUUUUGCAUAUUCGUGCACAUUUGGUGUACUUGUCCGUGUGGUGGGUUAACAUCAAUUUCGGUCGUCAUAAAAUGAUUGGAGGAAUGUAGCUUUGAUCUCGUAUCGAAGUGUUAUAGACUCUGGUAGAUGUGACGAUUGGGAUUGAGGAUUGCAACGGAUACCCCUUCGGGGGCUACCCGUCUGAUCUCUGAAGGUUGCUCCGGUGCCGAAAGCGUGCUUACGGUUAUCGAAAGUGAUUUUCAAAAGGUUAGAACGGGUUAAAUUCGUUAAGGAUGUUGACGUAAUGGCUUUAAACGA